GAAGCAGACCCAGGAGGAACUGUUGAAGAACCAGCCAGACAGCCCCCCCCCCUCAAGCUGCCCACCAGGCUGAGCUGUACUUGGUGUUUGCCAACAUGCUGUAAUUUCCAGCCUGGUUGCUGUAGCCACAGAGGAAUUUUCAAGGACAAGAACCAGUGCUGGUAAAACUGUGGUCUCGUGUGGUUUUCCAUACCGGCUCUCGGCAAGGAUUUUCAAGAAAGGAAUAUCAUCUCCAUAUCAUGAUGUGCCAAUAAGCUCCAGUUAGCUGUGGCCUUUUCCCCAGGCGGUAGUCCUGCAAUCUGAAUCCAGGAGAUGCAGCUCUGAAUCCAAUAUUUCAGAAGAAUGAAGAUGUUAGUCAACUCUGUAGUACUUGUUUGUGUGUAAAUGAUUCCAAUGAGUGAGAUUUAUAGCAAAUCAGGUGUAAAUAAGCAUCUUAUAGACAAUGGUGAAGUGCUGUACUCUGAAUUUAAUGCCAAAUCUAGCCUUCA